GAUGAACGCUGGCGGCGUGCCUAAUACAUGCAAGUCGAGCGAACGGACGAGAAGCUUGCUUUUCUGAUGUUAGCGGCGGACGGGUGAGUAACACGUGGAUAACCUACCUAUAAGACUGGGAUAACUUCGGGAAACCGGAGCUAAUACCGGAUAAUAUUUUGAACCGCAUGGUUCAAAAGUGAAAGACGGUCUUGCUGUCACUUAUAGAUGGAUCCGCGCUGCAUUAGCUAGUUGGUAAGGUAACGGCUUACCAAGGCAACGAUGCAUAGCCGACCUGAGAGGGUGAUCGGCCACACUGGAACUGAGACACGGUCCAGACUCCUACGGGAGGCAGCAGUAGGGAAUCUUCCGCAAUGGGCGAAAGCCUGACGGAGCAACGCCGCGUGAGUGAUGAAGGUCUUCGGAUCGUAAAACUCUGUUAUUAGGGAAGAACAUAUGUGUAAGUAACUGUGCACAUCUUGACGGUACCUAAUCAGAAAGCCACGGCUAACUACGUGCCAGCAGCCGCGGUAAUACGUAGGUGGCAAGCGUUAUCCGGAAUUAUUGGGCGUAAAGCGCGCGUAGGCGGUUUUUUAGUCUGAUGUGAAAGCCCACGGCUCAACCGUGGAGGGUCAUUGGAAACUGGAAAACUUGAGUGCAGAAGAGGAAAGUGGAAUUCCAUGUGUAGCGGUGAAAUGCGCAGAGAUAUGGAGGAACACCAGUGGCGAAGGCGACUUUCUGGUCUGUAACUGACGCUGAUGUGCGAAAGCGUGGGGAUCAAACAGGAUUAGAUACCCUGGUAGUCCACGCCGUAAACGAUGAGUGCUAAGUGUUAGGGGGUUUCCGCCCCUUAGUGCUGCAGCUAACGCAUUAAGCACUCCGCCUGGGGAGUACGACCGCAAGGUUGAAACUCAAAGGAAUUGACGGGGACCCGCACAAGCGGUGGAGCAUGUGGUUUAAUUCGAAGCAACGCGAAGAACCUUACCAAAUCUUGACAUCCUUUGACAACUCUAGAGAUAGAGCCUUCCCCUUCGGGGGACAAAGUGACAGGUGGUGCAUGGUUGUCGUCAGCUCGUGUCGUGAGAUGUUGGGUUAAGUCCCGCAACGAGCGCAACCCUUAAGCUUAGUUGCCAUCAUUAAGUUGGGCACUCUAAGUUGACUGCCGGUGACAAACCGGAGGAAGGUGGGGAUGACGUCAAAUCAUCAUGCCCCUUAUGAUUUGGGCUACACACGUGCUACAAUGGGCAAUACAAAGGGCAGCGAAACCGCGAGGUCAAGCAAAUCCCAUAAAGUUGUUCUCAGUUCGGAUUGUAGUCUGCAACUCGACUACAUGAAGCUGGAAUCGCUAGUAAUCGUAGAUCAGCAUGCUACGGUGAAUACGUUCCCGGGUCU
rnacentral:rRNA from 1 species